rnacentral:tRNA from 3 species
AUUAGGGUGGCAUAGCUUGGUUAUUGCUGGGGGCCUAAAACUCCCUGUCAGAAGUUCAACUCUUCUCCCUAACA